rnacentral:rRNA from 2 species
GCGACCCCAGCUCAGGCGAGAACACCCG